AUUGAACGCUGGCGGCAGGCCUAACACAUGCAAGUCGAACGAGUGGCGGACGGGUGAGUAAUGUCUGGGAAACUGCCUGAUGGAGGGGGAUCACUACUGGAAACGGUAGCUAAUACCGCAUACCAUCGGAUGUGCCCAGAUGGGAUUAGCUUGUUGGGGGGGUAACGGCUCACCAAGGCGACGAUCCCUAGCUGGUCUGAGAGGAUGACCAGCAACACUGGAACUGAGACACGGUCCAGACUCCUACGGGAGGCAGCAGUGGGGAAUAUUGGACAAGGGGCGAAAGCCGGAUGCAGCCAUGCCGAGUGUAUGAAGAAGGCCUGCGGGUUGUAAAGUACUUUAAGCGGGGAGGCGUUACCCGCAGAAGAAGCACCGGCUAACUCCGUGCCAGCAGCCGCGGUAAUAC
rnacentral:rRNA from 1 species